UUUUCUACUAUUCUUUGGUGCGGUGACUUGUUUGGCCUAAGUUUUUGUUUUCUGUCUGGGUGUCUUCUAAGUUUUUGUGGUUUUGUUUUGUGCUUUUUGUUCUUUGUUUUCUGUCUGGGUGUCUUCUAAUUUUUUGUGGUUUUGUUUUGUGCUUUUUGUUCUUUGUUUUCUGUCUGGGUGUCUUCUAAUUUUUUGUGGUUUUGUUUUGUGCUUUUUGUUCUUUGUUUUCUGUCUGGGUGUCUUCUAAGUUUUUUGUGGUUUUGUUUUGUGCUUCUUGUUCUUUGUUUUCUGUCUGGGUGUCUUCUAAGUUUUUGUGGUUUUGUUUUUUGUCUUGGCAUCUUUUAAGUUUGUGUCUGACAAAUCUUUAUUCGUGGAUUAUAUUGUUUGUUAGUAUGGGAGUUGGUUGUUGCUUGGCUUAA